rnacentral:snRNA from 1 species
CAUUGCACUUGGUGGGUGCGCUGGCCUACCAUCUCCCCAAGUGGGAGAGUGGACGUCAUAAUUUGUGAUAGAGGGGGUACGCGUUCGCGCGGCCCCUG